rnacentral:rRNA from 1 species
UCAUAGAAUUUUUUUAAGUUCAUGAUGUCGUAAGGGAAAAUAAUGAUAAUACCUUACUAUGAGUGUCGUCCAAAUCUGGUGCCAGAAGACUCGGUAAGACCAGAGACGCAAACGUUAAUCAUCAUAAACAGGCGUAAAGGGUUUGUAGGCAGCUUUUAUAAAAAAUUUAAAGGUAAUUUAAUUGAAAGCUAGAAUCAAAAAGAGGUUAUAGUGUAUAACGCCUAGAGGAGGGCUGAUAUCCGUAGAUCCUAGGCAGAAUACUCAGGGCGAAGGCCACUCUCCACUAAUGAUUGACGCUGAGAAACGAAGGUUAGGGUAGGAAAUAGGAUUAGAUACCCCGGUACUCCUUUCUGUAAACGAUGAAUGGUAGUCAUUAGUUAAAUUAAAUAACUAGAGGCGAAGUUAACACAAUAACCAUUCCGCCUUGUGAGUACUACUGCAAAGUAGAAAACAAAAAAAUUAGUCGGUCUCGAAGCAAACGGAGUGAAGCAUGUUAUUUA